rnacentral:rRNA from 1 species
GCGAGUGGCGCACGGGUGCGCAACGCGUAUGCAACCUACCUAUACUGGGGAACAACCCCGAGAAAUCGGGGCUUAAUACCGCAUAACAUCAUGAAGUGGCAUCACUUUAUGAUCAAACCUCAGGGGGUUAUAGAUGGGCAUGCGUGACAUUAGCUAGUUGGUGAGGUAACGGCUCACCUAGGCUGACGAUCCCUAUGGUCUGAAGGAUGAUCAGCCACACUGGUAACUGAGACACGGUCCAGACUCCUACGGGAGGCAGCAGUGGGGAAUAUUGCACAAUGGGCGCAAGCCUGAUGCAGCCAUGCCGCGUGUAUGAUGAAAGGCCUUCUGGGUUCGUUAAAGUAGUUUCAAUCAGGGGAGAGAAAAGUGUCUGUGGUGUGAUGAAACCGAAUAGGAAAUGUGGCACCGGUUUAACCCACCGGUCAAAAACAUUAAAAAAAGGGGGCCCACAUUCACAGNGNUCUUCAAUCUUUCCCCGAUGGAGACACGAAAGAGACGANGGGUAAUAAGAUGAGAGGUGGUAAUCCGUGAGAUCCGACGAAUGNGAUCUCGGGAGACGUGGUUGAGUUGCAGCAGGCNGGUACUGUCCCACAGUGCUGA